ACAAGACCUGGUGCUAAUAGUCCAGAGAUGUGGUCUGAAGCUAUUAAAAUCCUGAAAGGGGAGUAUGCUGUCCGGGCAAUCAAGGAACAUAAGAUGGAUCAAGCAAUUAUCUUCUGUAGAACCAAAAUUGACUGUGAUAACUUGGAGCAGUACUUUAUACAACAAGGAGGAGGACCUGAUAAAAAAGGACACCAGUUCUCAUGUGUUUGUCUUCAUGGUGACAGAAAGCCUCAUGAGAGAAAGCAAAACUUGGAAAGAUUUAAGAAAGGAGAUGUAAGAUUCUUGAUUUGCACAGAUGUAGCUGCUAGAGGAAUUGAUAUCCAUGGUGUUCCUUAUGGUAAAAAGCAACUUUUUAUGCCUGCAGUGUGAUUGUUAUGGAAUCUAAAGUAAAGCCUUCUAAUAUGUUUGAAAAAUUUAGAAACUACUGGCAAUUGUUAAUAAUGGUUUUUAUUUACAGUUAUAAAUGUCACUCUGCCCGAUGAAAAGCAAAACUACGUACAUCGAAUUGGCAGAGUAGGAAGAGCUGAAAGGUACUUCUGUAAUUUUUUUCCCCCA
rnacentral:sRNA from 1 species